rnacentral:rRNA from 1 species
UACGUAGGGGGCUAGCGUUGCUCGGAAUGACUGGGCGUAAAGGGCGCGUAGGCGGUUUGUACAGUCAGGUGUGAAAUUCCCGGGCUCAACCUGGGGGCUGCACUUGAUACGUAUGGACUGGAGUGGGGAAGAGGGUCGUGGAAUUCCCAGUGUAGAGGUGAAAUUCGUAGAUAUUGGGAAGAACACCGGUGGCGAAGGCGGCGACCUGGUCCUUGACUGACGCUGAGGCGCGAAAGCCAGGGGAGCGAACGGG